GAUGAACGCUAGCGGCAGGCCUAAUACAUGCAAGUCGAGGGAGAAUGUUGGAUUCGUCUGACAUGAAACCGGCGCACGGGUGCGUAACACGUAUGCAACCUACCUUUAACUGGGGUAUAGCUCAGAGAAAUCUGAAUUAAUCCCCCAUAAGACUACGACGUGGCAUCAUGAUGUAGUUAAAGCUCCGGCGGUUAAGGAUGGGCAUGCGGUACAUUAGCUAGUUGGUGAGGUAAUGGCUCACCAAGGCUACGAUGUAUAGGGGGUCUGAGAGGAUCAUCCCCCACACUGGUACUGAGACACGGACCAGACUCCUACGGGAGGCAGCAGUAGGGAAUAUUGGUCAAUGGACGCAAGUCUGAACCAGCCAUGCCGCGUGAAGGAUGAAGGCCCUAUGGGUCGUAAACUUCUUUUAUUAGGGAAGAAAAAACGGGAUGCGUCCUGUACUGACGGUACUUAAUGAAUAAGGAUCGGCUAACUUCGUGCCAGCCGCCGCAGUAA
rnacentral:rRNA from 1 species